rnacentral:rRNA from 1 species
UACGGAGGGUGCAAGCGUUGUCCGGAUUUAUUGGGUUUAAAGGGUGCGUAGGCGGCCCGUUAAGUCAGUGGUGAAAGCCUCCAGCUCAACUGGAGAACUGCCAUUGAUACUGGCGGGCUUGAGUACAGACGAGGUUGGCGGAAUUGAUUGUGUAGCGGUGAAAUGCAUAGAUACAAUCAAGAACACCGAUUGCGUAGGCAGCUAACUAGGCUGUAACUGACGCUGAUGCGCGAAAGCGUGGGGAGCGAUCCGG